rnacentral:tRNA from 1 species
GGGAGCGUAGCUCAGUGGUUAGAGCAGGCGACUCAUAAUCGCUCGGUCGCAGGUUCGAAUCCUGCCGCUCCCA